rnacentral:lncRNA from 1 species
AGAGCUAUCAGCUUCCCAGUUUGCACAAUUCAUCAAGAAAUUAUGCGGGGUCACUGGCACAAAUGAUGAGGCAUCUCCUGGAAGCUUAACUUCUUAUCCAUCCCAUCUCUUGGACAGAUGAUGCCAGUUAAUUACUUUGAAUGCUCCUCCACCAAGCCAAGGCCAGACUCCUGCAAUCAUAGGAUGGCAACACCACCUCUAAAGCACAGAACUUCAGGCUUUGCUUCGGAAGUGGCACCAUGGUCUCUUCAUUUUCCCUUUCUUCAAGGUGCUGUGGCUCACACCUGUAAUCCCAGCACUUUGGGAGGCCAAGGCGGGUGGAUCACUUGAGGUCAGAAGUUCAAGACCAGCCUGGCCACUUGAACCGAGGAAGAGGUUGCAGUGAGCCAAGGUCAUGCCACUGUACUCCAGCCUGGGCGACAGAG